AUUGAACGCUGGCGGCAGGCCUAACACAUGCAAGUCGAACGAGCGGCGGACGGGUGAGUAAUGUCUGGGAAACUGCCUGAUGGAGGGGGAUAACUACUGGAAACGGUAGCUAAUACCGCAUACCAUCAGAUGAACCCAUAUGGGAUUAGCUAGUAGGUGGGGUAACGGCUCACCUAGGCGACGAUCCCUAGCUGGUCUGAGAGGAUGACCAGCCACACAGGGACAGAGACACGGUCCAGAAUCCUACGGGAGGCAGCAGUGGGGAAUAUUGCGCAAUGGACGCAAGUCUGAUGCAGCCACGCCGCGUGUGUGAAGAAGGUCUUCGGGUUGUAAAGCACUUUCAGCGGGGAGGCGGUAUCCGAAUAAGAAGCACCGGCUAACUCCGUGCCAGCAGCCGCGGUAAUAC
rnacentral:rRNA from 1 species